rnacentral:lncRNA from 1 species
GGUAUGCAAUUUAAUUUUUUUAUGAUCAAAUUUGUAUUUUUUAUUACUUAAGUUUUGUAUGAAAUAUAACUUUUUGUUUACACGUACUAAUCCUUAUACCUGCAUAGAUAACAAUCUUUGUACCCGUCCCCAUAAACUAUGGAUACUAAGUACCCGUUACCCGCACUUUUGCUAAAAGUAAAUAGAUCAAUUAUAAAAUUU